AUUGAACGCUGGCGGCAGGCCUAACACAUGCAAGUCGAGCGGAGAUGAGGUGCUUGCACCUUAUCUUAGCGGCGGACGGGUGAGUAAUGCUUAGGAAUCUGCCUAUUAGUGGGGGACAACAUUCCGAAAGGAAUGCUAAUACCGCAUACGUCCUACGGGAGAAAGCAGGGGAUCUUCGGACCUUGCGCUAAUAGAUGAGCCUAAGUCGGAUUAGCUAGUUGGUGGGGUAAAGGCCUACCAAGGCGACGAUCUGUAGCGGGUCUGAGAGGAUGAUCCGCCACACUGGGACUGAGACACGGCCCAGACUCCUACGGGAGGCAGCAGUGGGGAAUAUUGGACAAUGGGGGGAACCCUGAUCCAGCCAUGCCGCGUGUGUGAAGAAGGCCUUAUGGUUGUAAAGCACUUUAAGCGAGGAGGAGGCUACUGAGACUAAUACUCUUGGAUAGUGGACGUUACUCGCAGAAUAAGCACCGGCUAACUCUGUGCCAGCAGCCGCGGUAACAC
rnacentral:rRNA from 1 species